UACGUAGGGUGCGAGCGUUAAUCGGAAUUACUGGGCGUAAAGCGUGCGCAGGCGGUUUUGUAAGCCAGAUGUGAAAUCCCCGGGCUCAACCUGGGAAUGGCAUUUGGGACUGCAAGGCUGGAGUUUGGCAGAGGAGACUGGAAUUCCUGGUGUAGCAGUGAAAUGCGCAGAUAUCAGGAGGAACACCGAUGGCGAAGGCAGGUCUCUGGGCCGAUACUGACGCUGAGGAGCGAAAGCGUGGGGAGCGAACAGG
rnacentral:rRNA from 1 species